CGACAACAACAGCAGUGACGAUAUUUAGUGGAAGGAUGGGGAAAUUAAUGAAUUACACAAUAUAGCCAAAAGUAUGUGGACACCUGACCAUCAUACACAUAUGUGCUUCUUCCCCAAACUGUUACCACAAAGUUGGAAGCACAUAAUUGUAUAGAAUGUCAUGCCUUCCCUUCCCUUGAAUUUCCCUUCAAUGCAACUAAGAUGCCCAAACCUGUUCCAGCACAACGACGCCCGUGUGCAAAGCCAGCUCCACGGUGUAUUAAGGUUGGAGUGGAAGAACUCGAGUGUCCUGCACAGAGCCCUGACGUUAACCCCACUGAACACCUUUGGGAUGAAAUGAAAUGGCAACUUUGCGCUAGCCCUUCUUGCCGAAAAUCAGUUCCUGAACUCUUGUGGUCUUGGUGGUGAAUGGACACAUCUCCAUACCCACGCUCCAAAAUCUAGUGAAAUAGUCUUAGAAGAGUCUGUUAUAGCAGCAAAGGUGGAACAUCUCCAUAUUAAUGCACAUGGUUUUGGAAUGGGAUGUUCAAUACUCAGGUGUCCACCUACUUUUGAUCAUACAGUGUACUCGAUAUUUGAGGAAUCAAUUCAAGUAAAGGUGAAAAAAGGAAUCUACUGAAACUGAGUACUGAUGGAAAACUAUUGCCUGCGAAUUGCCUAAGUGUUCUCAUUAACGACAGAUAUGGAUCACUUGUGGUUAUGAACGUGAUCUUUUAAAGGAGACAGAUACGAUCUGACGUGCACUGCGGAUGUACUGAACAUCCUUUUAACACACUCAAUAGUGUUUGUAUUUACUCUUUGACAUUGUAUACUAUAACGAUUUAGAACCGCAUUAUCUAUCACCCAGACGAGGACGGGUUGUGCCUCCGCCCUGCGUGUUUGGAGUUUGCAUGUUCUCCCUGUGCUUCGGGGGUUUCCUCUGGGUACUCCGGUUCCCUCCCCAUUCCAAAGACAUGCGUUGUAGGCUGAUUAUCUCUAAAUUGUCCGUAGUGUGUGAAUGUGUGUGUGAUUGUUUUCUGCGAUGGGUUGAGUUCCCAGGGAUAGACUCCAGGCUCUCGCACGACCCUGCGUCGGAUAAGCGGCACAGAAAAUGGAUGGAUGGAUGUUUGCAGCACAAAAAAAACAUGCCACUCCAUCUUGAAAGGAACUUUCUGCAAAUGCCCGCAUUACUGUUGACUUCUUUCUUUUUUUUUUUAUGGAACUGCAAAUGAUGCACGAAAAAUACCCCUCGCAUGCAAAAACUAUUUUUCAUGAACAAAAAGCAAAGGAAUGAACAUGCACGAAAAGAAGCGACGCUGAAAUAUGUUUAUAAUUUGUACUUCUAUGACCUUUUUUGCCUAAAAUAAACCCAAAGUUGAGAUUAUCAGCACUCAUACUGGAAUCUCCCUCGGUCUGCCUCUUACUGUAAACCGCAUUGCCUCAGAACUCACGUGCUCUCUUUCCCAUUAAAGCGCACAUCGAUAGAGUUUCAGAAUUACAUCCUGGCGAACGCUUGAGACAACCUGAGAAACCACGGGAGUGCUUUUAAGUAGUGCAUUUAACACAUUUAACUCGGGCAGAUUGUCUGGCAUUUGAAAGAUACCAGCCCGUGUUGUCCACAGCCCACCCCAACCCGCCCGUCGAUAUUGUGGUUCCUGUGAGCGAUGUCACCGACACUGUUAGAGAAGUCCAGGGUCAGGGGUCAUUCCCUGGGAAAAAUCAGAAGGUCACCAUGGAGCACGUCGGGAAAGCGGAUGGCAUCAACAACACUGUUGGGUCUAUUUUCAUCUACUCCCCCGGGAUGGUGAUCCUCGGCUCGAACUCGAACGAGAAAAAAGAGGAGGCGGAGACGGGCACAGAAGACAUCGGCGAAGACACCUGUCUCAUGAGCGUGCCUCAGCAGGAAUCCAGCUCCGAAGAAGACUUCGUCAGAAUGGCUACACAGGAAGAGUUUGGCAAGGAGCUGAGCAUUCCAGUUCCGGCCACGAGCAAAUGAAAUGUCCGGGCCUGAACACAGACGUCGGCUCAAGCAAAGGAAUAUAUGAACCAGGAUGGGGCCUUACAAGUCACGGAGCCUCUUUGCUGGCCCGUGAAGUGUAGAAAACUUGUCCUGUUUCAGCAGCGAGGCUGUGAAUAGGGCUGAGUUUGUUUGUAUAGCACUGUGACUUUCAGGGUUUUUUCUUUCUCAGUGUGGGAGGCUGUGCGAAGACAGUGACGGAAUAAGAAAAACUCCCAGGUUGCUAUAGUGAUAAGAUGUACUGUAAAUAUUAAUAUAUUAGAAUAUUAUGAUAUAACAAUAUAAUUAGAAAUAUCAGUCUAUUUUAUUUUAUUUUUACAGUCAUUAGACACCUUUGUGUUUGAGUACAGCUUUACCUGUGAGUUGGACAGACAGACACAGAGACAGGUGGGCCAACAGGCCGUGUUUUACUGAUGAAGUGUGGGUGCACAAGCACGCAGAGCUAAAAAUACCUCAAUGUGGGAUAAAAAGACUGCUGAAUGUCAGCGGCAUUCACUUUAACCUGCAUGUUUCAGUCACGUAUUACUGUGCAUGUCCCGGCAGGACCCAAUGAGCUGCUGUUCUGUAUUACUGUGCAGUUGUCUAUUUUUCUUUUCAAGCUGUUCAGAUUUCUAUCAAUUCAUUUGCUAGGGUUUAUUAUAAUCCAAAGCAUCUUACAGUCGAGGGAAAUAAGUAUUGAACACGUCAGCAUUUUAUUCAGUAAAUAUAUUUCCAACGAGGCUAGUCACAUGAAAUUUUCAACAGAUAUCGGUAUUAACUCAAGAAAUCCGGAAAUAUAAAGACUUCACAACAUUAAACUCCAUAAAUAAGGUUAUGUGUAAUAAAGUGGAAUGACACAGGAAAAAAGUAUUGAACACGUUAAGAAAAAGCAGUUCUCCAAGGCAAAGUAAGGCAAGGAACCAGUUGAAAUCCGUAAGUAAUUAUACCCCUAUCUGUGCAAAUUAAUAUCUGCUGGGUUAGUACAUUGAUGGUCUAUAAAAAGGCUUUUCGUGUCACACAAGAAACAUCUCACGAUGGGUAAAAACCAAGAGGUCUCCCAAGACUUUUGCAACAUUAUUGUUACUAAACAUAUUGAUGGAAUCAGAUACAGAGCACCAUUGAGUUAAUACUGGUGUCUGGUGAAAAUUUCAUGUGAAUAGCCUCAUGUAAUAUAAUUAAUAUAUAAAUAUAAUAUAUAAAUAUAUUUACAGAAAAAUUUUUUGACACAUCCAAUACUUAUUUCCCCCACUGGAAUUCAAAGGAACUUCAUCACUGAGUCAUCAGGCAUCAGCAUCCCAUCACAGGAGCACUGAUGUUAAAACACUUCUUUAGAAGUUAACAUGAAGUUAUUUUGAUUUUACUUGGAACCCUUUUCCAGGUCUUCCACAUUUCCUCAGGCAAUUUAUCGUGUUUAUUCUUAUCUACUAAUAAGGGAAUACAUGGCACAAUGUCGUGCUGUUGUAGCAAAAUAAUCGACUAUAACAGCACGUCCUGAAGUGUUUUUUUAUUCCGCUUCCAUCACAGCAACUUGCCAUAUGAUUGUCAUCUACUAAAGAAUCACACCUCAUACUUUUUUUUUAAUCCGUUUUCAGUUACAGUUAUUGUGGUAGAACACUCGUCGCCUCAACAGACAAGAAACCGCAAAGCAUAAAACCUCCUCUGUUCCAAGGACGUUCCUGUUACGGCUUUACCUGACUGUUGCAAAGUGCUGACACUGGAGACUCCUUCCAUAAUCGUGAAAUGGAAGAAAACUUCAUAUUUACGAUUACACUGUAAAGACAUUACAAAUGCUGUGACUUUGCCUGUUGUUGAUCUUCAUGCAAAGGGGAAAUGUAUUUCAGUUCUGGAAAGUCUGUAGUUUUCAGACCUAGUCAAAAUUUCACCAUGUGAAGGAUUUCCCCAAGUCUACACACACACACACACACAUACACACAGAGGCUGGUGGUUCAGUCAUUUGUUCAUUUGAAACACACCUUCUCUGUGUGUAAAUAUCGGGGAGCGUUACAUAUCAGCUCACUUUACUACGUGAGCAAAAACAUGAGCACUUUGCACACAUAAAGCUACAUUGCUUUAAAAAGAUGUCCAGGAUUAUUAGAUGAUGACGUACUGUACUCGGACAUUUAUUGCUUCAGGACCUGUGUUAAACUAGCUAAUUUAGCUACUGUUCAUGACAAAUGAAAGUUUGUAUGUUUAUUGUUAGAUUUCCAUAGGCUUAGCUGUUGUUAAAUAAACCACUGAGAAUACAUUGAUGCAAUUUUAACCUGUAACAAAUGCGAUCUAGUUAACUAGUAGUGACCUAGCUGGCUAGUGAGAAGGGUAGUUAGCUAGCUGGUUAGCUAGUGUUCAUGAUGAUUGUAAUGACAUUUGAGGAUAAAGUCCAGUUCACACCAGACAUGUUCCUGAAGGUUUGUUUUUGUUUUGGUUUUUUUUAAAGUUGCCCGUUUCACAAAACAGAACAUUCUUCAUUUUAAUCAUCGUUGUGAGGUUUGUUUUUAAUGUGCGGAGAAAUCUAUCCUGCUGCGUUUUUGUUGUUGUUGGGUUUUUUGGUUUUUGGUUUUUUUUUUUUUACAUGGUGUUUCUUUUCACUUGUGCAAAUGAAUAAAGCCAAAGUGUAAACUCCAUACAGACCGCUGUUUCACUUUCUGUAAAAGAUUUUAAAUGUAUAACAUACAACGUUAUAACGUAAAUAGAUUGCUUGUUUACUACUAUCUCAUAUUACAUUUUUAAGUAAACUGUUG
ensembl:lncRNA